rnacentral:rRNA from 1 species
UACGUAGGGGGCUAGCGUUGUCCGGAAUCAUUGGGCGUAAAGAGCGUGUAGGCGGCCCGGUAAGUCCGCUGUGAAAGUCGGGGGCUCAACCCUCGAAAGCCGGUGGAUACUGUCGGGCUCGAGUGCGGAAGAGGCGAGUGGAAUUCCUGGUGUAGCGGUGAAAUGCGCAGAUAUCAGGAGGAACACCGAUUGCGAAGGCAGCUCGCUGGGACGUUACUGACGCUGAGACGCGAAAGCGUGGGGAGCAAACAGG